GACUGGAUAGCCUAGUGGUAAAGGAAUCUCAUUGACAAUGCUGAGGUCCCAGGUUCAAAUCCUGGUCUAGUCA
rnacentral:tRNA from 1 species